UGUGUUUGUAUGAGUGUGUGUGUGUAUAUAAUGCAGGGUGUGUGCAUUAUAUACACACACACUCAUACAAACACACA